rnacentral:rRNA from 1 species
AACGAACGCUGGCGGCAGGCCUAGCAUAUGCAAGUCGAGCGAAGCCUUCGGGCUUAGCGGCGGACGGGUGAGUAACGCGUGGGAACGUGCCCUUUGGUACGGAAUAGCCCCGGGAAACUGGGAGUAAUACCGUAUGUGGUCGAGAGACGAAAGAUUUAUCGCCAAAGGAUCGGCCCGCGUUGGAUUAGGUAGUUGGUGGGGUAAUGGCCUACCAAGCCGACGAUCCAUAGCUGGUUUGAGAGGAUGAUCAGCCACACUGGGACUGAGACACGGCCCAGACUCCUACGGGAGGCAGCAGUGGGGAAUCUUAGACAAUGGGGGAAACCCUGAUCUAGCCAUGCCGCGUGAUCGAUGAAGGCCUUAGGGUUGUAAAGAUCUUUCAGUGGGGAAGAUAAUGACUGUACCCACAGAAGAAGCCCCGGCUAACUCCGUGCCAGCCGCCGCCGUAAUAC